GGAAGUAAAAGUCGUAACAGGGUUUCCGUAGGUGAACCUGCGGAAGGAUCAUUAUUGAAACUUCAUCCGGGGCGCCGCGGCCCUCAGCACCGGUGGAAACGCCGUGCUGCGGGGGCCGCGCGUGCACUCGUCCAAACCAAACCCCUGUGAACCUUACGGGAUGGCCCGGGUUAGCGCCCGGUGCCGUUCCGCUUUAUACAAACACUUAUCAAAGAAUGAACUGAAGGCGGUCUGACCGCUGGAUAACAAACUGAAACAACUUUCAACAACGGAUCUCUUGGCUCUC
rnacentral:misc_RNA from 1 species